UACGUAGGGCGCAAGCGUUGUCCGGAAUUAUUGGGCGUAAAGAGCUCGUAGGCGGUCUGUCGCGUCCGUUGUGAAAACUCGAGGCUCAACCUCGGGCUUGCAGUGGAUACGGGCAGACUAGAGUGCGGUAGGGGAGACUGGAAUUCCUGGUGUAGCGGUGAAAUGCGCAGAUAUCAGGAGGAACACCGGUGGCGAAGGCGGGUCUCUGGACCGAUACUGACGCUGAGGAGCGAAAGCGUGGGGAGCGAACAGG
rnacentral:rRNA from 1 species